rnacentral:rRNA from 1 species
UGGGGAAUAUUGCGCAAUGGGCGCAAGCCUGACGCAGCAACGCCGCGUGAGUGAUGAAGGCCUUCGGGUCGUAAAGCUCUGUCGGAGGGAACGAAUGCUCCUGAAGUUAACAGCCUCAGGAGGUGACGGUACCCUCAAAGGAAGCACCGGCUAACUCUGUGCCAGCAGCCGCGGUAAUACAGAGGGUGCAAGCGUUGUUCGGAAUCAUUGGGCGUAAAGGGCGUGUAGGCGGUAUGUUAAGACAGGUGUGAAAUCCCCGGGCUUAACCUGGGAAUUGCGCUUGUAACUGGCAGGCUAGAGUGUGGCAGAGGGGGGUGGAAUUCCACGUGUAGCAGUGAAAUGCGUAGAUAUGUGGAGAACACCGAUGGCGAAGGCAGCCCCCUGGGUUAACACUGACGCUCA